AUUGAACGCUGGCGGCAUGCUUUACACAUGCAAGUCGAACGGUAACAGGCCGCAAGGUGCUGACGAGUGGCGAACGGGUGAGUAAUGCAUCGGAACGUGCCCAGUCGUGGGGGAUAACUACUCGAAAGAGUAGCUAAUACCGCAUACGAUCUAUGGAUGAAAGCGGGGGACCGUAAGGCCUCGCGCGAUUGGAGCGGCCGAUGUCAGAUUAGGUAGUUGGUGGGGUAAAGGCUCACUAAGCCAACGAUCUGUAGCUGGUCUGAGAGGACGACCAGCCACACUGGGACUGAGACACGGCCCAGACUCCUACGGGAGGCAGCAGUGGGGAAUUUUGGACAAUGGGCGCAAGCCUGAUCCAGCAAUGCCGCGUGCAGGAAGAAGGCCUUCGGGUUGUAAACUGCUUUUGUACGGAACGAAACGGCUCUGGUUAAUACCCGGGGCUAAUGACGGUACCGUAAGAAUAAGCACCGGCUAACUACGUG
rnacentral:rRNA from 1 species